CGCUAGCGUAUCUAGUCUAUAUAUAUCUAUGGUCGGCACGUCUGGUAGCAUCUCUGGCUGCUGUUGACCUUGUUUUUGGAGUAAAACACGGUGGAAGCUGAAUUAGUGAGGAUGACUCCUGCUCCUGUCAUCUCUAAGCUCCUCACACAUCUUUACCUGCACAUGAGGAAAAUCACUCCUGUAGAAUGCAGUGGUUCAUCAGAACCUCUGGGGAUGUCCUGUGGAUUCUGUGGGUCCUGUUGGUUGCAGGGUGGGUCCUACCUAGACCAGGCUGAUCCUGGACCAUCCCACAGAUGCUCCAUCAGAUCUGGAUGUGGAGAGUGUGGAACCCAGAGGGAGAUGAUGCCACGUCUGGUCCAGCUGAUGGAAGGUCUUGAAGUUCUCUGACUGGCCUCGACUGAAGAUGGUCGUCUCACUGGAUUUAAGGUUCAGAUGCUCAGUAACAAACUCCACCAAUGAGCCAACAGGGAAGCUUUAGGUUUAUUAAAUGUUGCUAUGAAGGUAUCGCCGUUUUUCUUUGUGAAUGCAAUGUGCUCCAACUGAGACUUGAAUUAGAACUUAGAAGUAAAUCCUUCCAUCUGAAAGGAUUUAGUUGCAUUAAUAGCCUCAUAACAUUCAAAUUUUUAUUCCAGUCUUGGUUGGAAAUAGAAUCUCUGUAUUGAUUCAGGUAAAAACUGAACUUCACAGCAUGUUGAAGCAAAACAACCAGAUGAAAACUGUGAUGGUGUUGGAUUGUCAGACCGUAAUGUUGCAGCUCAAAGCAGCUUUUCUAGCUCAGUUCAUUCUGACAUUCAGCUAUGAAUCAACACAGCAGAUGGUGAUCCAUGCUGUGGAAGUCUCACAUCUCCUGAUUUAAUGGAGCUGCUUUGCACUUUUUACACUGUUUAUUCACCAACACUUUAUUUAAUAAAAGUCCCAUCUAGUUUUUAUGAGGAAUGUGAUGUUUUAAUUUCUCUGUGAAUAACUGCAGUCUAAUGCAACAGCUGGAGUUGUAACAUCUGUCCUGAUAUUGAUCAUGAAAUAUUGAUCAGAAUACUUAUGGUUAGCAGUCAUCCCUGAAGUUUUACAUUAAAAUCUUUACUUGUGUCGGGAACUUUGGUAAGAAGCAGAAACUUUUGCGUUGCCAUGGAUACAUGAGUGUUAAAUUCUGUCCAUGAUUCCAUUUUGGGAAAUGCAGUCCAGCAGAUGAGUUUGUUUUUACUGACAGCUACCAUUCAGUCUGAGAUAUUAAGAAUAAAUAAAUGUGCAUAAUGUGGAAAUUAACAAUUUUAUUUUUAUUUAUUCCUACAGCUGCAGGGAAAGUUCUAGACUGUGGAGGAAUUUAUUCUCACAAUCACAGACAAUAAAUAUUAUCUGAAAGUUUGGUUAUUGUUGUUUUAUCAGCACGUUAGACAUAUUCCAGUUAAGACUUUAGAAUAUCAUGAUUUAUGUAAAUUUACCUCAAUAAUAUGAAUGUUCAAGUUAAGAUUGUGCAGUGAUAUUAUGUAAGUUUAUGACUCUGCACUACAAUAUUAUUUAAAUUUACAUCAUUAUUAUAAUAUUUAGGGUCAGACCCUACAGUAUUGAGAUUAAGAAAUCAAAUAUUCUAUAAAAUGUAAA